GGAAGUAAAAGUCGUAACAAGGUCUCCGUUGGUGAACCAGCGGAGGGAUCAUUACCGAGUUUACAACUCCCAAACCCAAUGUGAACGUUACCAAACUGUUGCCUCGGCGGGAUCUCUGCCCCGGGUGCGUCGCAGCCCCGGACCAAGGCGCCCGCCGGAGGACCAACCAAAACUCUUAUUGUAUACCCCCUCGCGGGUUUUUUUAUAAUCUGAGCCUUCUCGGCGCCCCUCGUGGGCGUUUCGAAAAUGAAUCAAAACUUUCAACAACGGAUCUCUUGGUUCUGGCAUCGAUGAAGAACGCAGCGAAAUGCGAUAAGUAAUGUGAAUUGCAGAAUUCAGUGAAUCAUCGAAUCUUUGAACGCACAUUGCGCCCGCCAGUAUUCUGGCGGGCAUGCCUGUCCGAGCGUCAUUUCAACCCUCGAACCCCUCCGGGGGGUCGGCGUUGGGGAUCGGCCCUCCCUCUGCGGGGGCCGUCUCCGAAAUCCAGUGGCGGUCUCGCCGCAGCCUCUCCUGCGCAGUAGUUUGCACACUCGCACCGGGAGCGCGGCGCGUCCACAGCCGUUAAACACCCAACUUUCUGAAAUGUUGACCUCGGAUCAGGUAGGAAUACCCGCUGGACUUAAGCAUAUCAAUGG
rnacentral:rRNA from 1 species